rnacentral:rRNA from 1 species
UACGGGGGGAGCAAGCGUUGUUCGGAUUUACUGGGCGUAAAGGGCGCGUAGGCGGCCUGUGCAAGUCAGUUGUGAAAUCUCCGGGCUUAACUCGGAACGGUCAACUGAUACUGCUCGGCUAGAGUGCGGAAGGGGCAACUGGAAUUCCUGGUGUAGCGGUGAAAUGCGCAGAUAUCAGGAGGAACACCAAUGGCGAAGGCAGCACUCUGGGCCGGUACUGACGCUGAGGAGCGAAAGCGUGGGGAGCAAACAGG